CUAGCUUGCUAGGUGGAUUAGUGGCGCACGGGUGAGUAAUAUAUAGAUAACGUGCCUCUUAGUCUGGGAUAGCCAUUGGAAACGAUGAUUAAUACUAGAUACUCCUUCUAACUCUAAUGUUAGUUGGGAAAGUUUUUCGCUAAGAGAUCGGUCUAUAUCCCAUCAGCUAGUUGGUAGUGUAAGAGACUACCAAGGCAAUGACGGGUAGCGGGUUUGAGAGGAUGAUCCGCCACACUGGUACUGAGACACGGACCAGACUCCUACGGGAGGCAGCAGUGAGGAAUAUUGCACAAUGGAGGAAACUCUGAUGCAGCAACGCCGCGUGGAGGAUGACGCAUUUCGGUGUGUAAACUCCUUUUAUAUGUCAAGAAAAUGACGGUAGCAUAUGAAUAAGCACCGGCUAACUCCGUGCCAGCAGCCGCGGUAAUACGGAGGGUGCAAGCGUUAUUCGGAAUCACUGGGCGUAAAGGACGCGUAGGCGGGAUGCCAAGUCUGAUGU
rnacentral:rRNA from 1 species